UACGGAGGGUGCAAGCGUUGUCCGGAUUUAUUGGGUUAAAGGGUGCGUAGGCGGCUCAUUAAGUCUGGGGUGAAAGCCCGUUGCUCAACCAACGGAACUGCCCUGGAAACUGGUGAGCUUGAGUACAGACGAGGGUGGCGGAAUGGAUGCUGUAGCGGUGAAAUGCAUAGAUAGCAUCCAGAACCCCCGAUUGCGAAGGCAGCUGCCCGAGCUGAUAACGUGACUGAGGCACGAAAGCGUGGGGAGCGAACAGG
rnacentral:rRNA from 1 species